CUGAGCCCAACAGAGCAGAGCCUGAGAGCAACCCCACGAGAAAACCACGAUCCCGGGUAACGCCAGGAGUUCCAGACAGUGCGAGCAGAGCAGCAAAGCAAGGCAAAAACCCCUGAGGUGGGAAAGAAAUGAGAAGGAGAAACACUGGGCUUAUUCUUAAUCGCUUUGCAUUUCCACAGAAAGCACUGUCAGCCCACAGAAGCUUCGGGAACCAUAGCACCCCCACCCCCACUCACCGGCGUGGCUAGGCCUGGCCAUGUCUGUCACCAAAUCUGUCCUGCCCCUGCGACUCACUGGGUACCAUGUGAGCCAAGCCUGCACCAGUGUGAGGACGGAACUGCUGUGUCUGUGCGACCAAGUGGGUGCUUAAGAAGGACUCCUCGAGGCAAGACUUAUUUUUUCUUAGGAGACGGCCUGGCUUUGUGGUCCAGGCUGGCCUUGAACUUGCUAUGUAGCCAAGGCUGGCCUCCAACACACAAUGAUCCUCCUGCCUCAGCCUCCCCAGUGCUGGGAUUACAGGGAUGUGGCACCACAUCCAGCCGAAGCAAGAGUUCAAAAUUAAAGCAUCCUGUGCCCCCAGAUGUCUGGCUCUGCCUUGCUGUCCCAGGCCAGCAGCCUCUAGUGGGGCACGAGGGGCCAUGGGGCCACAGCUCAACUCCCAGACACCCUCUCUGGGCUCAGACUCUUGAGCGAAGGGACAGCAAAGUGUGUGAGCCCGCCCGGAUCUGGCCAUCAGCUGACGCUGCUCCCCAGAGUGGGGGGAGCAGCCCCCCCCACCCCCGGCCGGAUGCUCAGUUUCCCUUCCACUGAAGUCUGUUUCCCCGGGCAUGGUGGCGCACGCCUGAAACCCAAGCACUCUGGGAGGCUGAGGCAGGAGGAUCGCAAGUUUGUGCCCGACCUGAGAAACAGCAACUUAGUGAGACUCUGUCUCAAGAUAAAAAAUCAGGAGGCUGUAGCUCAGCGGGGGGACCUGGGUUCAAUCCCCCAGUGCUGAAAAAAACCUGUUUCUAGUUAAAAGUAGCCAGAGCUAAUUUCUCCCAUUUGUAGCUGAAAAAUCCCAAAGGACGCGGCUCACAGCAACCCGUCAGCACGCGGGUGUGCGUGGACUCGCACGUGCACGUCGCGGGGGCACAGCGCUGUCUCGUCCGCAGGCGACUCACUCACGAGCGUGCGCAGUCUGACCCCGGAUUCCCUCUCCACAUCCGGCCACGAGCUGAUGAGAAACCGGGAGGGCCAGUGCACUGCGUGAGCGCGAGUGUGAGAGCGUGCAGCCUGGGGAAAAAUCCUGCCGACUCGCCACGCUGUUGGAGCGCACGCCCGCUCUACCAGGGGCGCGGGCCUUGCCGUCAGCGUCCUCUGCAGGCGCAGCCACCCCAAGCUUCCGCCGACCCUGACCCCAGCCCCAGCCCUCAACCCACGACCCGAGGCCACAGAGGCCCACAGGGUGAGCCCGUCUAACCCGGGCACCCAGGCUUUCACGCUGGAGGAGUGGCCGGGGAGGGGAGGGAGAGAGACAGAGGGAGGGAGAGACAGAGGGACAGAGAGAGACAGAGACAGAGAGACAGAGACAGGGAGAGAGACGAGAGAGAGACAGAGAGACAGAGGGAGAGAGAGAGGCCAUCUCCCCUCCCCUCUCCCCCACUCCCUCCGACAGUGCAGAGCAGGCUGCUGCCCAGCAGGAAGGAAAAGGCCACCAUCAGGGCAAGGCAAGUGUUGUGGGCACAGCGGCCCUGUGUUGCUUGCCUGUCUGCACACGGAGUCACCUGCCCGCUCCUCGGAUUUCUGCAGCUCCCCUGCGGCUCUGUCUGUGGCCCAGGCCCUGCUGGCGUGGAGUUUGUCCGACCCUCUGCGAGUGAGGCCCGGCACAGAUGGACGUUGCUCUCUGCUGUCCCUAGAACCCGGUGUCCCUCGCCUUUAGUCCACAGCAGGUGCUGUCUGCCGGCCCUGGCUCCCGCUUUGGCACCGAGUCCCCCUGGAGGCGAGGCGGGUUCUGCUUGUGUCGCAGGAGCUGGCUUGGACCACAGUGGGGCUUCUCAGGGUCUUCCCUGGGGCCACCCCAAGAAACUGCUCUGAUUGUGGGGGCCCUGUGCCCGCAGACCGUGCUGUGGAGGGGAAGUGUCCUUGGCUGCAUUCACCCCCGCCCUCUGGGAAAGGUUUCAGUGCCCUGGCAUCAAAUUUAUAACCAUGUUGUAUGUGACCCAUUGUCCUUGUCUCACCGGGGGUUGAACCCAGGGCCUUCACGCUGAGCUACACCCCACCCUUUUCUCAUUUUGUAUUUGGAGACAG
ensembl:lncRNA